AUACUUACCUGGCAAGGGAGACACCGUGAUCACGAUGGCGGUUCACCCAGGGCGAGGCUCAGCCAUUGCACUCCGGCUGUGCUGACCCCUGCAAAUGCAUAAUUUCUGGUAGUGGGGGACUGCGUUCGCGCUCUCCCCUG
rnacentral:snRNA from 1 species